rnacentral:rRNA from 1 species
AUUGAACGCUGGCGGCAGGCUUAACACAUGCAAGUCGAACGCGUGGCGGACGGGUGAGUAAUGUCUGGGAAACUGCCUGAUGGUGGGGGAUAACUACUGGAAACGGUAGCUAAUACCGCAUACCAUCGGAGGUGCCCAGAUGGGAUUAGCUAGUAGGUGGGGUAACGGCUCACUUAGGCGACGAUCCCUAGUUGGUCUGAUAGGAUGACCAGCGUAACGGGUACAGAGGCACAGUCCAGAGUCCUACGGGAGGCAGCAAUGGGGAAUAGUGCAGUAUGGUGGCAAGCCUGACGCAGCAAUGCCGCGUGGAUGAAGGAGGCUUUCGGGUUGUAAAGUACUUUCAGCGAGGAGGGGUUACUCGCAGAAGAAGCACCGGCUAACUACGUGCCAGCAGCCGCGGUAAUUC